UACGUAGGGUGCAAGCGUUGUCCGGAUUUAUUGGGCGUAAAGGGCUCGUAGGCGGCUCAGUAAGUCGGGUGUGAAACCUCCAGGCUCAACCUGGAGACGCCACUCGAUACUGCUGUGGCUAGAGUCCGGUAGGGGAGCAUGGAAUUCCUGGUGUAGCGGUGAAAUGCGCAGAUAUCAGGAAGAACACCAAUGGCGAAGGCAGCUCUCUGGGACGGUACUGACGCUGAGACGCGAAAGCGUGGGGAGCAAACAGG
rnacentral:rRNA from 1 species